rnacentral:rRNA from 1 species
UAGGGAAUCUUCGGCAAUGGGGGCAACCCUGACCGAGCAACGCCGCGUGAGUGAGGAAGGUUUUCGGAUCGUAAAGCUCUGUUGUAAGUCAAGAACGAGUGUGAGAGUGGAAAGUUCACACUGUGACGGUAGCUUACCAGAAAGGGACGGCUAACUACGUGCCAGCAGCCGCGGUAAUACGUAGGUCCCGAGCGUUGUCCGGAUUUAUUGGGCGUAAAGCGAGCGCAGGCGGUUAGAUAAGUCUGAAGUUAAAGGCUGUGGCUUAACCAUAGUAGGCUUUGGAAACUGUUUAACUUGAGUGCAGGAGGGGAGAGUGGAAUUCCAUGUGUAGCGGUGAAAUGCGUAGAUAUAUGGAGGAACACCGGUGGCGAAAGCGGCUCUCUGGCUUGUAACUGACGCUGAGGCUCGAAAGCGUGGGGAGCAAACAGGAUUAGAUACCCUGGUAGUCCACGCUGUAAACGAUGAGUGCUAGGUGUUAGACCCUUUCCGGGGUUUAGUGCCGUAGCUAACGCAUUAAGCACUCCGCCUGGGGAGUACGACCGCAAGGUUG